rnacentral:rRNA from 1 species
UGCGUAGGCGGAAUAAUAAGUCAGUGGUGAAAUCCUGUGGCUCAACCACAGAACUGCCAUUGAUACUGUUAUUCUUGAAUAUAGUUGAGGUAGGCGGAAUGUGUAAUGUAGCGGUGAAAUGCUCAGAUAUUACACAGAACACCGAUUGCGAAGGCAGCUUGCUAAACUAUUAUUGACGCUGAGGCACGAAAGCGUGGGGAGCGAACAGGAUUAGAUACCCUGGUAGUCC